AACUCUUGAAUUAUACGAAGGACCUGGCCGCAAGAAGGCAUUGAGCCCCGAGGAGGACAACAGGCCUCAGCUCUUGGCACCAAGUAACUAUGAAGACUCUGAGAACUGGACCAUCCCAAGGCUGUAGCUUUCUUCAAGCCUGGCAGGCUCUGUCGUGGUGAAGAGUCUGAAGGCUUUUUCUUUUCCAGAUGUAAUUAUUAACCAACAUUCACAUCAGAUUCACAAUUGGAAACCCAGCUGUUAAACAUUUACCAGCACACUACUGGAAAGAAGUGCAUAUGGACUACUCGCUUGGGAUUCCAGAAGAAAGAACGUUAUAGAACACCUACAACUUGGCAAUCAGGGGCCUGAGGUACAGCUGAAGUACAGCUGUGGAAGAGGAGAUGCUAAUUCCUGGAGAGAGAGCAACACAGAUUUUACAGUCAGCAGCCAGAGACUACCCUCAGAACAGGAAUGUGAAAAAUAAACCAGAUAUGCUGAACUGGAUACCAACAAGGUUAAAUGGUGGAAAAGCCAUAAUCACUUCUAAAUUCAAGGGUAGGAUUAAUACUGUAUUUUCACAGUACCUGAAAGUUCUGUGGCCUUUCCUAGACACCAGUUCAUGUGAUCACCAGAACAGAACUGAGGUUGAGGGGAAAGUUAGCUAUCAGCAUUGGGCCCAUUUUACAGAUGGGAAACUGAGGCAGUGGAAGGUAAAGUAGUUUGCCCAAGGUUACUGUUUCUGCAUAAAUGGCUGCCCUGGGACUAGAUGGGAACAGAACUACCACAGACUUGUGGGUCAGACAUACUUUGGUUAAAAACUCAACCUUGACAUUUAUGUAAUGUUGGUAAUGUUACUUUACCUUUUUAAGCCUGGGGUUUUUUGUUUGUUUGUUUGUUUGUUUGUUUGUUUAAACUUACAAAAUGGGGAGGAUAAAGCCUAGAUCAUAAGUUUGCAGUGAGGGUUAGUUUAAGGAGAUGAUAGGUGCAAAGGACCUGGUGCUCGGGAAGCCUUUGCACCUCCCACCGUGUACUUACAUUACUUACAUUUGAUUUUGAAAUAUAGUAUAAGACUGCUUUGGCUAACAUAUUUACUUUUCUAAUUAUAUUUGUUGGGUUUAGGUUAAUUACUCUGCAUGGCCUUAGGCCAGACCAAUUUGAGGGGGUGGGGGCAGGGGCAGGGAGGAGGGAGAAGGGAGAAGGGAAGAGGUGGGUCAGAAGAGGAAAUCUGGUUAUGAUUCCUGUGAAGGUGGAGGUGGAGCUGGAGCAUCUGGGCAGGGGAAGAAUUAAAAUUUCGUAAAGGGCUCCUUCACUCACUGAUAAUUGGAGAUAAUCUGUAUACACUAUCAUGUUCAACAAGGCCAUUUCAUGCCACAGAAGCUAGAGUUCCAGAUGGACUGCCUCUGCCUAGACCUAGGGCUCCAUAUCACCACCAGCAGAAAUGAGAAGGCUUGGAGACCUCUGUGCCCCUGAAACCCUCACGGCCUCACCAGCACUCUCUGCCUUGGAACAAGACCCAUCCCCAUGAAAAGCUGAGGCCUCAGGUCAUCCCUCAGCUGCCAGGGCAGGGAGGCAGCCACCCCCCUACUUCCCAGGGCCCUCACUCCUCCUUCUGGAUGGGCCUUUCUUCUUACAGCUUGUCAGCACUAGGCAUGCUAUUAAUUCACUAGACUGUAAUCUCUGUGAGGGCAGGGGUUUUUAUUUAAUGUGAGACCUAGAACAGUGCUAGAGACACAGAAAGCUCUCAAUAAAUAGUGGCUCAAAGAAGAGCGUAAAGUGAGUCAUCCUCACCUUUUGUUUUCUCUUUCAAAUAACAAUUCAUUCUUUGAUCAAGCUCAACAGGUUCAGAUUUGGCUCAGGGCACACAAGGGUAAACCGAGGAGGUAAGGGUGUUGUCAAAGACUUGAGGGGGUGUUCACUGCAAAAACAGGCGUCUCUGAGGAUGGGCCAUGGACCAGCCGACAUGGACUGAACGAGGUGGUGGAGCUCAGCGGUUAAGAACGUGGUGGUUCAAAUCCAGGCCCCGCCAUUUAUUAGCUAUGUAACCUUGGGCAAGUUAUUUUAUCUCUGAGUCUCAUAUUCCUUAUCUGUAAAAUGUGGAUAAAAAUAUCCACCUCUUAAAGUUGUAGUGCAGGUUAACGAGAUAAAGCAUGGCGAAUGCUUAGCACGGAGCCUGGCACGGGAAAGGGAGCCAGUAUUCAUGGCACUAUGGAGGUGGAGGUGGAGCUGGAGCAUUUGGGUAGGGGGAAAAACACAGCUGGAAGAGCUGGGAAAAAGGCCAGCCUGCAGAAGACCUCUGUGUACUCGGAUGGCAUCUUAUCAGCCUGCAAUGGGGCCCUGCAAAGAGGCCUACAGCAGUAACACCUACCCAAGAGGACCUGGCUGUAGCAUGGGGACUGACACCAUCAUGGCCCUAGCUAGAUCCAGAAGCCACUGGAAUGACGCCAAUGCCUUACUACACGGAUGGUGUCUUCCCUUGGGCAAAAUAACCACAAACAUGCCUCAACACGUAAGACAGUAUAUACGGGGGAGGACACCCACGCUGAAGCCAUGCCCAAGAAUAAAGGACACAAGGUUUCACAAGAUACCCUGAGUUGAGAACUACAGGGUUUAGAACCAAGGAGGAGCAAAAGGGCAAACGGGUGAGGUGAUGUAAUUUUACUUCCAGGAAGAUAGUUGUGGUUUCAUUACAGGAGAUGGGUUUUCAGUGGGCAUCUAAAGGAGAGGGGCUUGGAAGAGAAGAGACACUACAUACUGGAGGGAGCACGUAUGAAAAUGUUAUGUCCAAUGUGAAGAGGCCCGGGCCGGAGCAGCAGUGCAAUAGCAGGGUGCGCAAGGAAUCUCUCCCGCCUCCAAGCGGGGCCCAAAUGCAUCCAUCACUGGGCAAAUGAAUAUUCUGCCCUGGAUACUGAUGGGGUCCUCUGAACUUGUUCCCCAGGGUGAGCCUGAUUUAGGCUCAAGAAGUCCCCAUUCUGCUUGAUAUUUUAAAUGGCAUAGGUACCCAAAACAGCAUGGUAUAUGGGAAGAUAGACCUGGAAUAGGGGACAGUAGACUUGAUUUGAGGUUCCAGAAAUCAUUUUCCAGCUUUAAUUUUGAGCCUCAGUUUCCUCAUCUAUGACAGGGGGGAGCAUAGCUGGCUCCCCUCACAAGCCCCUCAUGAUGAACCUCUGGGGCCUUUGGCUGUGGGAGCUCCACGCUUUGUGCUUCCAAGGACCAGUCACUUCAGCAGGCCCCCCGCCCAGCCUAGUGUGGCGCUGCAAGAAGAGCACAGCUUCUCUGGUUAAUCCUGACCUCACGCUGGCCCUGCCUGCAUGUGGAGACACAGUCUCUGGCUCCUGGGCGGGGACGCCCGUCAUCCAGUCAGUGCAGCUCAGGAGCUAAGCUCAUGAAUGGACGCCUGCAAAACACACUGGGCUCUUUGCUUGAAAGCCACCAGAGCAAGACAAAGGAUGCCUUCCCUGGCUGGAUUCCUCAGCAGGGGGCUUGCCACACCUGCCUCCUCCAGAAGCGCCUGUGCAGGUGUAGACAUGUACACCUUCCUGAACGUUGGCUCUGCCCCACCUAGUGUGCAGUGCAGAUGCAAAUUCCACUCUCUUGCAGCUACUUCUUGCAACUGCAGGCAUGUCACGUAGCCCUAACUCCCCGGCUUUAGUUUCCAGAACUACAAAGCAGGAGCCACAGACACUCUAAACUCCCUGCCUUCUAGCAAAUCUCCUAAAAGUUAUUAUGGAUUGUUUCUGAUCCUCUGGGACCUCCGUGGGUCAGCUUGCAUUCCCAAACCAAAUGCAGCCACUUGCCUUGGUCUAGCUUGCUUGGUGUCCCCAAAUGUGGCUUACUAUGAGGGUCUACAGCCAGCUUGCUGUGGUGGGGUUCUAGCUUCCAUGUACCAGCUGAAUGACCCAGGGCAAGGCACUUUAACCUCUCUGUGCCUAGGUUUCCUCGUCUCUAAAGUGGGAUCAUAGUUGCACUUACCCCAUAGGCUGUAACAUAUGCAGUAUGAACUCAUGCGUUUGAGUUGAGUUAAUUAUAUGAGUUAACACAAGUGUAUGAGCUCAUACUAUACAUGUAAAAUGCUUAAACCAGUGCCUGGCACAUAGUAAGAAUCAUUAUAAGUGAAAUAAUAGUAAUAAUGAUAGUAGGUAUUAUUAUUCAUGUUCCACCCCAAUUAUCAUUCUAGUUCCAUUUUUCUGACUUUCUCACCAUAGCCUCAAGGCCUGGCCCUAUCUGCCCUAGGUUGACUACUGCCAUAAGCACUCCAAGGCUCACAGAAGCAGGGGAUGGAAGAGAGGUUGAAUGAAGCAGGUGGAGAUGGAGGAUUGAGAAGAGGAUGUGGCUGGGCUGGAGGAGCAGGGAGAAGAUAAAGACCAUUAGAAAUAGGAUGAGAGAACAAUGCCUGGGCUAACCCUCUCGGAGCUCUGAAGGCCCAAGGCAAUGGCACAGUGUCUGUGGAAUUGUCCCCAUCUCUGGAGUCCCCCAGUAUCUACCUUAAUCUGAUGUGUGUACCACAAUGGAAUAGAAUGAAUUAAACUUGAAGGACAGUUUAUUCCUCAAGGCAGGUGGGAACUCCAUCAAAUGGAAUUGAACAGCAUUGGAAAGUGAGUGUAUUAGCUGUAUUUCUUCUCCUUUGACUUAGAAUGGAAGGUUGAGAAGAACUGUGGCCUGUUCAACCCCAGGCCUUCUCUUAGCACUUUGUGUUACUGUGUUGGGGGCCAAAAAGGAAUCAGGCAUAUCCUAGAUGCCUAAGCAAGCUGUGAGAAUAGGAGGGCCGUCUCAUGCCCAUUUGCCUGGACACUGAGUCACUUCCCUCUGUCAUUCCUAAACCAUCCUGUGGCACCAUGUUGGAUCUGUGCCAGAUAAGUUCAGGAGACUUGGAUUCUCCUCAAACUAUGUCUCAGAAAAGCAGAGCCCUAACCCAGAUUGUUUUAGACCCCUCCCCAACUCCCUGUGUUUGUUACUGACACCCUAGUCCCUGAGAUAAUCAUCCCAAGAAAGGGAGGCAGGAGAGGCCUUGCUUGUCUACCUGCUACCUUUGUCCUCUCUCUCCUUUGCUUCUCCUCCAGGCUGGGCAGAGCUGUCUACUUUCCCUUGCUAUCUGAGGGGAAGUUUUAUUAGGCUGUCGACUGUCUUUUCUGAACUAUGGCUUAUGGUAAAGUCCCAUUAUCAGACCAUCUGACUUGGCACUUUAAAGGAAGAUUUUAAAAUUUAGAAGUCUUUCCACAAAGCCUCUAGCAACUCAAGAGGGUUAGCAUGGACCCCCAAGGCUGAGCAGCGGCCCAUCGUCCAGGUGGCGUCCCCUUCCACAGGGAGAAGUGGGUCUGUGGCUGGGAAACCAUAGCAUGGCAUGCCUUACAAGGGAAAGAGGGAACAGUGGUUUAAGACGCUCAUUGGUGAUACCCCUGGUCUACUUAUGGAACAUAUGCCCCAUUACACACAUACCCCUGUGUAAUGGGACUUCCCAUUUUAUACUUAGGGGUGUAUAUUUAAAUAAGUGAGGGGGGCAUACAACAAAUGAAAGUACUCUUUUCUGAAUGCUGAGAAUAUGCAUGAUUUUCACUUUUUCUUUUACUCAUACACAUUUUCUGACUUUCUACAACCAGUAUGUUACCUUAGGAUAGAAAUAAAAAAAUAAAAUUGGUAACAUUAUAUGUUAUAUAAAAUUUUAAUUAAAAUAUAUAUUCAUUAAAUAUAUCUAAAAAGA